UGGCCCCUUAGCUCAGUGGUUAGAGCAGGCGACUCAUAAUCGCUUGGUCGCUGGUUCAAGUCCAGCAGGGGCCACCAG
rnacentral:tRNA from 23 species